rnacentral:rRNA from 1 species
UACGGAAGGCAGCAGUGGGGAAUAUUGCACAAUGGGCGCAAGCCUGAUGCAGCCAUGCCGCGUGUAUGAAGAAGGCCUUCGGGUUGUAAAGUACUUUCAGUCGUGAGGAAGGUGUUAAGGUUAAUAACCUUAGCAAUUGACGUUAGCGACAGAAGAAGCACCGGCUAAUUCCGUGCCAGCAGCCGCGGUAAUACGGAGGGUGCGAGCGUUAAUCGGAAUUACUGGGCGUAAAGGGCACGCAGGCGGUUAAUUAAGUUGGAUGUGAAAUCCCCGGGCUUAACCUGGGAAUGGCAUUCAAGACUGGUUAGCUAGAGUCUUGUAGAGGGGGUAGAAUUCCAUGUGUAGCGGUGAAAUGCGUAGAGAUGUGGAGGAAUACCGGUGGCGAAGGCGGCCCCUGGGACAAAGACUGACGCUCAUGUGCGAAAGCGUGGGGAGCAAACAGGAUUAGAUACC